CGAACCCAGGGCCUUGGGGCAAGCGCUCUACCACUGAGCUAAAUCCCCAACCCCACCUUAUCUUUUUUGAGGCAAAGUCUCUCAUUGCCCUGAAGAUCUCCAAUUAGGUUGACUCUGAGUCUCCAUCUUUCCCAUGCUGGAUUACAAGAUACACCACCAAGUGCGGCUCUUUUUUUUUUUUUUUUUUUUUUAAAUGUGAGUUCUGUGGGAUCAAAGUCGUUCCUCAUGAUUGCAAAGCAAACACUUGACCAAUGAGCUAUCCCUGCAGCGCGGAUAGCAUAGGCGUUCUGUGUGGCCAGUGAUAGCCCCAAACUCGGGACGGGGAAUGCAGCUGGAAGGCGAGGACUCACACAGCACAUUCGAGGUUCUGGGUUCCGCCCCCAACCCCGCCAUUUGAAAACAAAAGGAUGUCAGUCCGUCUGGAGAACUGUCUAAGGCAGAGCCCCUCUUUCCUCUCUUUCCUUUUCUAUGCCUGUGCCCCCAGUGGACUCCUCUACAGCUGCUGGCCUGCGAAGGGCGUCUUCCCCCACUGAGUAAACAAGCAGGACUUCACUCUUGAUAGAACUGGGUGGAGAAUGUUUGAAAAUGAUUUGGUUUAAAGUUAAUCCCGUCACUUCCUCCCCGCCCGCCCGCCCGCCCGCCAGCCCGCCCCCCAUCCCCCGGGAUCUUUGACCAACACAAAGUCUUUGGGAGUUCACUCAGAUGCCAUAGUGGGGUCACAUUCCACCAAUUUCAACCGAAGAAGAUGCCAUGGAGUGGAAACCUGGCCUGGAGACGGGGGACCUGUGAAUUGCCUGGCACCCCUCCAUGGUGUGGAAGUGGAGUUGGCACCCUCUGCACUUGGAUGGAGGGUGUGGAGCUGCCCUGGGCAAGGUUGUGCAGAGCUCAUAUCUCCUCUUCCUCCUCCUGCAGCUAUUGGGGCUUCUGAGGGGGCUCCAGAGACCCUUGAGAGGAGAAGCUGGUCAAGCCAGGCAGGGCCAGCUGAGUCGGCCAGAUGUUGAACAAAGCCCAGAAGCCUGUCUGCAGAGCACACAAUGACCGCCCCCUCUAUACCCCCCCCCCCACAAGAUCCCAGAGAAGUUCUGACAGCUUCCCUGUUUCUUGUUCUAGUCACUCUUGAGGCCCUUGGGUCCCUGAUAUGUGUUCUGCUAUCUUUUUGAAACAGAAUGUUCUCUUGGGGCCUAAAUUUAUGUGACACCAUAAUACCCUAUUAGAAUUCUAAAAAGGAAAAAAAAAAAAUCAAUGGGAAUUUCUAGGAACAGCUGUGUGGAGAAACAAAGAAAGGUCACUGUGGGCCAAACCCAAGUAGCCUCACUGUGACAGUGAACACAAGCAAGCCUUGACUUGUCCAGCCAACCCCCACCCCCACCCCUGGUGGUCUGCAGAGCUUUGGGAAUAGACAGUCCAUUUGCAGAGUGGCCCAAAGAUCUCUGAGGGGGAAGGGUUCCCUAUUGCAGCCCCCACCCCCAGCCCCUAAUAUUAAGAGCCGGGAAGAGCUAUUGAAGACCACCUCGCCCAAACCAAUGUCAGAGAAAGCCUGGCAGGACAGGUGUAUCCCCACAGAGAGACAGUGGGCUAGCGAGGAGGCUUUGUGUGAGCUUCUAGGAGCUUCCAGGAACACUGUGGGCAUCUGUAUAUGUAGGUGAGGACAGUGAGCUGAACUUCUGAUUAUCCCAGCCUCCUCUGCCCGUACCAGCAUACACAGCUUUGGGACUAGAAAGAGGAAACCGCUCGUUUUCCCAAAGCAGACUUUGCCUCCCAGAGUCUGGCUUCAAGCUCUACAGUGAACUCCCCAGUUCCACUCCCAGCAGUAACCCCCUUGUCUGCUUUAACUACUGCCCCCCUGCCCUGUUCCCUUCAGUGUGAGGCAUUGUGGCUGUGACCAAGAGAACUGUGUUGAAAAUGCUGGGGCAUGCCGAGUCUGCAUUCAGAACCGUCUCACUCAAAAUACGCCGAGCGCAGAGGACAUUCAACUUUCUGCCCACUCCUAAAGACCUGCCUUUAGUGAGACCGCUCGGCAGGACUGGGGAUGGGCAUAGCCCCGUCCUCCCCCAGGGACCUGGCAUCAGCAUCCAGGGAGUGUGGAAGAAAAAGUGAUCCCUAUUGGAAUUCCGAAUCCACUCCAUUGUGAGAGUUCCCUGGCACCUUUGAGACCCCCCACACCCCAGCCCCAAUAAUCUCUGCAGCUGUGGCCCAGAUUGGCUGAAAACUCUCUGUGUAGCUGAGGACCGAAGGGGUAAAAAAAGAAAGGCCAAGCGGGUACCUUUCGGACCCUGCCAAGGCACGCCACUCAACAAACACGCCACGCGCAACAGAGUUAGUGCGAGAGGUUUAUUCGGGGAGGGGACAGACAGACAGAGAGGCAGAGAGAACAGGGACAAGAGGAAGAAGAGAGGCAAGAGAACGAGCUGUGCCUGGUGGGCACUUUUAAGGGUGCACAUGUCACAUAGCUGACGUGGAAAGGCACCUGGCAGCAGGUGAUGGCGUCACCACCUCGUCACCACCUCGGCGGCCUAAGCUGAGUCAGGCUGCUGUCAUGGCAGGAACGCCUGUGAUCCCAGGCAGAACCAGGCGGAUCUCUGUGAGUGCGAGGCCAGCCUGGUCUACAGAGUGAGAUCCAGGCAGGACAGGCUCCAAAACUACACGGAGAAACCCUGUCUUGAAAAAAAAAAAAAAAGGUGAGAAAAUAGGAAAUGGUAGCCGGUAAGGCAGAAACGGGAGCCUCCGGGAAUGGGGUAUCUUAUUCUCUAGACUGCUUCCUGUUGUCUGGGGCUGUCGGCAUCUUUGGGGGGACCCGAGAGAGCUGGGAUAGCUGGCUGCUUCACUCGCUGUCUUGAAUUUCUGAUCCUCCUGCCUCCACCUCCCACAUGCUAGGAUUAUGGGCCCUCCCCGUCUAGCCAAGUUUAUAAGGCGCCGGGCUUUGGCAAAGCUGGGCAGGUGCUUUUCCAGCUCCUUUAUACAGAGCCCCCGCAGUGGUGGAGCUUUAAAGCAGGAACCCUCGUCCUUGCCACCAGCUGCCGAUGGGACCUUGGCCCCGCCCGGUCUUCAUAAAACAGGAAACCUUCCUAGUGCUGCCCUGCUGUGGAAUCAGCUGUUUCCGUCCGAAAGAUGGUUCGGGAAGGGGCGUGGUGGCGAGGGACUGCUGAAUAGGUAUGGGAUUUCUUUAUAGGGUAAUGAAAAUAUUCUGGCAUUAUGGGCUGGGCAGAUGACUCAGUGGGCAAAGUGCUUGCUGUGCAAGAAAUGAGGACCCAGUUUGGAUCCCCAGGACCCACAUAAAAGGUGGGUGUGGCAGUGUGCACCGAGGGAAUCGGGGCAGAGAGGCAGAUCCCAGAGGGCUGACUGGCCUGUUAGCCUGGCUCAAACAGAGGCAAGAUACAGGUACAACAGAGACCCUGUCUAAACUAAACUAGGGUGCAGAGCAAUAGAAGAUGCCUGAAGUUGACCUCUGACCUCCACACAUGUGCUCAGGUGAGCACACCAGCACGUAGGUGCAUACAGGCACAGACACACACACACACACACACACAUCACCACCACCAUCACCACACUGUGGCCUUAAAUGGUGACAGUUAAAUUCUGUGACUACCUGCAAACCACUAAACUGUACACUUGAAGAGGGUAGACCUUACCCUUUGUGUGUUUCAUUUUGCAUAUUACUUAUGGGAAAAAAAAAAAAAACUAGACAAACAACCACGCCGAAAUGGAGAAGGAAAACUGGCAGACCUCCGUAGAAUGUGCUUUAUCUCAGAAACUCGGGCUCUGGGCAGGAAGAAGGCUUUCCUUUGUCUCGAAUCUCAGGGUCUCUUCAUUCAAGGGCCUGGGGAAGCUGGGAAGGCUGUGAGUCGGAAGUGAUUUGCAAAGGAAAGGAAAGAUCAAAGCAGGUACUGAGG